rnacentral:lncRNA from 13 species
GGAGACGUGGCUCACGCCUGUAAUCCCAGCACUUUGCGGGGCUGAGGAGUGUGGAUCACGAGGUCAAGAGAUGGAGACCAUCCUGGCCAACAUAGUGAAACCCGUCUCAACUAAAAAUACAAAAAAAUUGGCCGGGCGUGGUGCCACGUGCCUGUGGUCCCAGCUACUCAGGAGGCUGAGGCGGAAGAAUCGCUUGAACCCAGGAGGCAGAGGUUGCAGUGAGCCGAGAUUGCGCCGCUGCACUCCAGCCUGGUGACAGAGCAAGGCUCCAUCUCAAAAAAAGAAAAAGGGAUGUCAGAUCCCUGCAUAUGAUCAGGAAAUGGUCGCCACAAAUAAGAGUCUCACUCUGCUGCUCCGGCUGCAGUGCAGCGCUGCGCCAUCUUGGCUCAGAGCAACCUCCCCCUCCUGGAGAACCCCAGUUUCGGAUUCCUCAUCCUUGCCUUUACUCUGGUGGUCAGAUGUAACAGCAACAGAAAUGAGGGUGGCAGAGGUAGGCACUGUUCCUGGAGGCCCUAAUCUGCUGAGCAGCUGCUGGGAUCGGACUUCCGACUAAUGCAUACAACAUUCCUGCUGCAUCUAGUACUCUUUGUUUUCAAUCAUACAUCUCUUAUUUAAGUAAUAUGUUAUUGGACUUGUUACUUUUACUUUUGGCAAAUCAUAAAGAGGAAAGUCAACCUACAUGGCUUGGAGAGUAGAACGUACAUCAAACACGACGAGCAAACCUAAGCAUUAGCAAAGAAUUAGAAGAGAGACGUACUUUGGUGGAAUAGGCAGAAUGCCAAGCCUUAGUGGCUGGGCACUGAGCCAGGUGCUGGAGAACAAGACAGACCUCGUCACUGAUCCCAUAGUGUGCUAGAUAAUUUUUUUUAAAUGCCAUCAAUUUUUUUCCUCCCUAUAUGCACAUUGCAUUUUUUAAAUGCACACUUUUUUUCCUCCCUAUAUGCACAUACCACUCUCUAUUGAUGAGUGGUGUUUAUUUCUCCUCCCCUUGGAUUUAUGGCUACUUAAACCAUAAAAUGUAGUAGGAGUGAAAUCCUGGGACUUUUGACACGGGUUUUACAAAGACUUGCCAUUUCCAGUUUCUUCACUUUAUUCCUGUUGGAAUCUACCAGCUUUGCUGUAAGAGGCCAAGCCACAUGGAGAGGCUGCAUGGAGCGUGCUCACUGAGCAGCGGCUGGAAUUGGACUUUCACCUAAUGCAUACAACAUUCCUGUUGCAUCUAGUACUGUUUGUUUUGAAUAAUACAUCUCUUAUUUAGAGGUAUUAUUGGACCAGCUGGUUGUCUUUGACACACCAGCUGGUCCAGUCCCCAGGAGACUGGAACAAACAUCAUUUAGAGCAGAAGAAUCUCCCAGCUUAGCCCAGCCACCCUGCAGAAUCAUAAGCAUUAAUAAAAUCAUUGUUUUAAGCUGCUAAUUUGGUCA